rnacentral:rRNA from 1 species
CGGGGGGCAGCAGUGAGGAAUAUUGCACAAUGGAGGAAACUCUGAUGCAGCAACGCCGCGUGGAGGAUGACGCAUUUCGGUGUGUAAACUCCUUUUAUUAGGGAAGAUAAUGACGGUACCUAAUGAAUAAGCACCGGCUAACUCCGUGCCAGCAGCCGCGGUAAUACGGAGGGUGCAAGCGUUACUCGGAAUCACUGGGCGUAAAGGGUGCGUAGGCUGGCUUCUAAGUCAGAUGUGAAAUCCAAUGGCUCAACCAUUGAACUGCAUUUGAAACUGGGAGCCUAGAGUUCAGAAGGGGCAGAUGGAAUUAGUGGUGUAGGGGUAAAAUCCGUAGAUAUCACUAGGAAUAUCAAAAGCGAAGGCGAUCUGCUGGGAUGAUACUGACGCUGAGGCACGAAAGCGUGGGGAGCAAACAGGAUUAGAUACCCCAGU